GGGGGUGUACCGGAUUCGACCUCUUGCCGUAGCCUGAGGCUGCAUGUCGGAGAUAAUGGAGGCUCCGUAUCAAUCCAUUACAAAAAUUAAUUGGCGAAGAACAAUUCGCUCUUGCUGCUUAGUUCAGCAACGUCUCUACCUAGACACCUACUAUAGACUAGAGGCGCCGACUAGUAGGCAUAGCUUAUGUGUUUGUCUUCACUCAUAAGUCGUAUUUUUGAAGACAUGGAAAUUAAAGAGUGUGCUUUUUCACGCUUUAAGGACGACAAUAAAUAAAAAGAUAAACAUGUAGAUGCCCCUUGUGAACACAAGAGACACGCGGGUUCGACUCCCGCCACCUCCACCA
rnacentral:tmRNA from 2 species